rnacentral:ribozyme from 1 species
AUGUUAUUUUUUGACUCGUUCGGCACCUUACGAGAAAUCAAAGUGCUUGGGCUCCAGGGGGAGUAUGGUCGCAAGGCUGAAACUUAAAGAAAUUGACGGAAGGGCACCACCAGGGGUAAACAGUAGCCGUUCAAGCUCUGCCCCAGACAGCGAGCCCGUAAAGGGUCCGGUGGUCAGCCCCGAAUCGCUAGUCACCUCAGCGGUGGCGACAUCCCCCAAUUGCGGGAAACCCUCGAAGGGUGGCACUCCCAAGCAGCGCUCGAAAGAGACGCUGUGGCGGCGGCGUAACGGCCGCCGGUACGGGGACAACGUGCCGCUCAUGAGGCGACUCGCAGCCAAGCCCCUAACCACGGGGAAGGUUCAGAGACUCGACGGGGAUGGGUGGCGCCCGCCGGGCGCCGCCUAAGAUAGAGUCCGUACCCGCUCGAGAGAGCGGG